rnacentral:rRNA from 1 species
UACGUAGGGUGCGAGCGUUAAUCGGAAUUACUGGGCGUAAAGCGUGCGUAGGCGGUUCUCCAAGUCCGUUGUGAAAGCCCCGGGCUCAACCUGGGAAUGGCAGUGGAAACUAGGGGACUGGAAUCUGGCAGAGGGGGGUGGAAUGCCGCGUGUAGCGGUGAAAUGCGUAGAUAUCGGGAGGAACACCAGUGGCGAAGGCGAGUCUCUGGGAUGAUGCUGACGCUGAGGCGCGAAGGCGUGGGGAGCGAACGGG